rnacentral:rRNA from 1 species
GGAUUAGAUACCCUGGUAGUCCACGCCGUAAACGAUGGGUGCUAGUUAUCGGGACUUUAAGUUUCGGUGACGUAGUUAACGCGUUAAGCACCCCGCCUGGGGAGUACGGUCGCAAGAUUAAAACUCAAAGGAAUUGACGGGGACCCGCACAAGCGGUGGAGCAUGUGGUUUAAUUCGAUGCAACGCGAAGAACCUUACCAUCCUUUGACAUCCUGGUCAUAGACUAUGUAAUGUAGUCGUCAGUUCGGCUGGACCAGUGACAGGUGUUGCAUGGCUGUCGUCAGCUCGUGCUG